ACGAACGCUGGCGGCGUGCUUAACACAUGCAAGUCGAACGAUGAACCAGGAGCUUGCUCUUGGGAAUUAGUGGCGAACGGGUGAGUAACACGUGAGUAACCUGCCCUUGACUCUGGGAUAACCUCCGGAAACGGAAGCUAAUACCGGAUACGACGCACGGAGGCAUCUCCAGUGCGUGGAAAAAACUUCGGUCAAGGAUGGACUCGCGGCCUAUCAGGUAGUUGGUGAGGUAACGGCUCACCAAGCCUACGACGGGUAGCCGGCCUGAGAGGGUGACCGGCCACACUGGGACUGAGACACGGCCCAGACUCCUACGGGAGGCAGCAGUGGGGAAUAUUGCACAAUGGGCGCAAGCCUGAUGCAGCAACGCCGCGUGAGGGAUGACGGCCUUCGGGUUGUAAACCUCUUUUAGUAGGGAAGAAGCGAAAGUGACGGUACCUGCAGAAAAAGCACCGGCUAACUACGUGCCAGCAGCCGCGGUAAUACGUAGGGUGCGAGCGUUGUCCGGAAUUAUUGGGCGUAAAGAGCUCGUAGGCGGUCUGUCGCGUCUGCUGUGAAAACCCGAGGCUCAACCUCGGGCCUGCAGUGGGUACGGGCAGACUAGAGUGCGGUAGGGGAGAAUGGAAUUCCUGGUGUAGCGGUGGAAUGCGCAGAUAUCAGGAGGAACACCGAUGGCGAAGGCAGUUCUCUGGGCCGUAACUGACGCUGAGGAGCGAAAGCGUGGGGAGCGAACAGGAUUAGAUACCCUGGUAGUCCACGCCGUAAACGUUGGGCGCUAGAUGUGGGGACCAUUCCACGGUUUCCGUGUCGCAGCUAACGC
rnacentral:rRNA from 1 species